rnacentral:lncRNA from 1 species
AAAUAGAAAUGAAACGACUAAACUAGACAACCAUAGACCUGAAAACUCAGUUUCCCUUUCAUCAAACUUCGAUCUCUCUGUAUCAGCUACCCACAAAGACCGAUAAUCUCCCAGUAUCAAAACUAUUGAAGCCGUCUCCUCUGCCGGUCUCACGAGCUCAUCGGACAAACAAUCUGCCUCCUGUCCGGACUCUAGCUUACCCUCUCUCAUUCCUCUCUGUUAACUCGCCUUUCUCCAGCCACCAAUCUUUCCACCGCCUGCAGAACCUCCUCAAUCCAGUAUUGGGGGUUUACAUACCGCCAUCCCUCCAUCGCCAUCCCAUGGGCCGCCUUAUUAGCUUCCCUUGGUACGUGCUGAAAUCUCGUUCUUCUAAAUCUGGAAAAUCCGAGUAAGUUAUUUGGUAAAAGUAAUAUUAUUUGCCUCAAAUGAUAGGUGAUGAAACAUUCUAGGGUAUACAAAAUUAUAAUUAAAUAUCUAUUUAUUUCAUAUUCUAAAAUUAAAUUUGUGAUCAUUGUUUGAGAUGCACCACCAAUUCUAAAUUAUUUCCUACAUUUCAUCUUUUAAAUUCAAACAUUUAAAAGUUUUGAAUAUAUUAUUCAAAUUUUUUUAACCUACUCAUUUACAUUAAAAUAAUUAAUAUCUUUCUUUUUUUCUUUUGAAUUUUGUUCCUCCAAUUAGGUUCAUCAACUACUUCAAUUACAGAUAUAGUAUGGGUCAUACAAAUAAUAUAAAUUAAUAUAGAUACUAUUUCAAUUUACUUUGGGUUAAGUAUUAAUUAUUUUUUUGUUAAAUUAUAAAACAUACUUCAAAUCUCUGUAUUUUGUGUAUAUAUUUUUAUUUUUAAGAAUUCAAUCUUUUUUAUUUUCAGAUUUAAAAAAAAAUUCUUAAGAGUCACAUCAAUAUUUUAAUCAAAAUGAAGUAUUUAAGUUAAUCAAUGACAUUAUAAAAAUUGAACUGCCAAGUAAUGUCAAAAUUUUGAAGAAUAAAGAUUAAAAUUUAAAUUUUAGUAUAGUAUAGAGACUAAAAUUGAAGUUUAACUAUGGUUACAUAAUCUUAAAUUUGAGUAUAGCGUAGAGAAACUUAAAUUUUGAUUAUUUUUCAAAUUAAAAAAAAAAACUCAACGAUAUAAAUAACUAAAAGAAAAUAUAAUUAUAAUUUUUUCUCCAUGGGUAGGUUACAAUAUAAUCAAAGUAUGGUUAUAAAUAUAUAUCAGAACAAUUAUAAUAUUGAAUUAAACUAAUAUCAACACAAAUAAAUUAAUCAGAAUAAUCUAGAUUAAUGAUUCGAGAUAGGUUGAGUAAUAUUUAAUUUUAUAAAACAAUUGAAUUAUUAAAUUUAUUGAUUUCUAAUUCAAUUGAUUGAUGUAAUUGGAUUCAACAAUAUGACUUUUUUUACAAUUUCUUUUUAUUGUUACUGUAAAAAGGAAUAGUAGAAAUAAAAAAAUAUGACGUACAAUAACAUUGUUAGUUGGGCGUAUAGCCUAUGUAAUAAUUAAUUCGUUUCAUGUGUCUAGAAAAAUUUUAAUUAGGUUAUUAGAUAUUGAAAAAAAAAAUUUUGAGCAAGCGUGAAUCAAAGACCUCAUUCAAGAAAUUUUGUUUUUUAAGUAUAGAUAUAGAUAUCUACAUCCUACUCAAUCUAAAAAGCAAUGCAAAUUCUCUAUUUUUAAUGUUUAUAUAUAUAUUAUCAAUUUGGAAAUUUUUAAUUAAAUUUAUUCUUUAUUUUUUAUAAUAGUUAAAUUUAACAAUUAAUCUUUUAAAAAAGGACGAAAUAUUAUUUUUUAAUGAAAAUAUUAAUUAAAAUAUUAAAUUUUUAAACAUGAUAGCCUCCAUACAAUUAGAGGUGUGCAUGGGCUGGGCGGCUCGGCCCGGCCCAAAGGCCCACUUGAAAAAUGAGAGAGUUUGGGUAAAAAUAUAGGCCCGAAAAAUGGGCAUGGACAAAAAACGAGGCCCGUUUUUUGGUCCCGGGUAAGAUUUUUUUCGCCCUGGCCUUAUCCAGCUCGGCCCAAUUUUAAUAUUAAAUUAUUUUUAAAUUUUUUUAUUUUUAAUUUUAAGUAACUUUAAUACUUUGACUUUACUCUUUUUUGUUGUUUUUAAUGUUAUUUUGAUAUUGUAAAACUUUUGUAAUUAAUAUUAAUUGGUUCUUAAUUUAGUUCUAAUUUGUUUCAAUUUUUCAAUUCUAAUAUAAUUACUUUUUAUUAUAUUUUUAAUUUAUGUAUUAUUUUAAAAAUUAUUUUAGUCUCAUUUUUUAUUUGUUUUUUGUUUUUAUAUUUGUUUUUAUAUUUUUAAAUGUAUUUGAUUUAUUAUAUUUUAAAUUUUUUUAUUUAAUAAAAAAAGGAAAAAUUAAUAUGGUCGGGCCGGGCUCGGGCCUACUAUUUUUUCCCGGGCCGGGCUUGGACAAAUUUCUAGGCCCAUAUUUCUGGCCGGGCCGGGCCCGGACCUUGAAAACUAGCAGAAAUUUUUUAUGGGCCCGACCCGAACCCGGCCCGAUCCGGCCCAUGCACAACUCUACAUACAAUUCACAUGUAAUUUAUGUUUUUUUUUAAGAAUUAUGAAUUAUUUAUAUAUUUUUUUGAAAUUUUUGAAAAUUUAUAAUUUUUAAAUUAUUUGUUAUAUAACAUAUACAACAAAUAAUGUCAUGUUAAUAUGAAGUGUACGUAAACCACCACGCAGAUUGUCACAUCAAUAUCGUUAAACAAUUAAUUUUUUAGCCAUCAUUUUUGUUAAAAAAAAAGUUAAAGGGUGUAAAAAGUCUUUAAACUUUUUCAAAAUAAGCAAUUAAGCCCCCUUUUUUUUGCUCUCAUUUGGGUACUUAAACUUUCAAAAUGCAUCAAAAAGAUCCUCAAACCUUUUCAAAAAAAGCAAUUAAGCCCCUACCUUUUUUUCACUCAAUUGGGACUUAAACUUUCAAAAUUCAUCAAAAAGACCCUCAAACUUAAAAAAAGAAAAAAUUAAGCCCAUGCUUUUAUUAAGAAUUAGAAAAAAAAUUAAAAUCAAUAAAAGCUAUAAAUACUAUUAAAUUUUAAUAAAAAAUUUAAAUAUUAUAAAUUUAUUAAAAAUUUUAAAAAAAUAAAAAUUUGUAAAAUUUUAUAAAAAUCUUAAAAAAUUAUAAAAUAUAUAGAAUUAUAAAAAAAUUAUAAAAUUUUAUAAAGUCGUAAGAAAAUUAUACAAAAUGUAAAGAAAUAUAAAUUUCACAAAAAAAUUUAUAAAAAUUAUCGUACGAAAAAAAACAUUUUAUAAUUUUUCUAUAACUUUUAUUGAUUUUUAUUUUUAUUUUAUCAUUUUCUCCACAUGUCACGGUGUGUUGUGACAUGUGAUGACUUUAAUUGAAAAAAAUUAGGGGUCGUAAAUUUUUUUAUGAUUUUUAUAAAAUUUUAAUAUUUUUUAUUUGUUUGACGAUUUUUAUAAAAAAAAUUCUAAUCCUUAAUAAUUUUUUUCUAAUUUUUAAUAAGAGCAGAGGCUUAAUUAUUUAUUUGAAAAAUUUUGAGGGUCUUUUUGAUAUAUUUUGAAAGUUCAAGUACUCAAUUGAGUAAUAAAAAAAACAAUUAAGCCUUUGCUUUUUUUAAUAAAGAAGUUUGAAGGUCUUUCUAAUGCAUUUUGAAAAUUUAAGUGUUCAAUUGAGUACAAAAAAAAAAGACUUAAUUAUUUUUUUAUUAAUUAUUUUCACACCCUUAACCUAAAAAAAAAAACAAAUUGAUUCUUUUACCAAAGUUAGAGUCAAAGGCGAAUUUGAAGAAGGCAAGGGCCAUGUCCCAUCCCCCCUCCCUCCUCAAAUAUUUGAAUGCCUAAAAGAUGAUAAAAUUAAAAUUUAAUUUACAAUAAAAUUUGACUCAAAAGAAAAAGUUAUGUUUAAUCCCUUUAAAAAAUGAAAAUUAUGUUUUAAUUUCUAAAAAAAUUAUUAUUUAAUUUUGGCCCCUUCUAAAAAUAUUUCUAAAUAUUUCUAAAUUUGCCCUGGUUGGAUAUAAAAUUUAGUUAAAAAAAAUAAGGGCCAAAUUAAUAAAAAAAUAUAUAAAAUUUUUAGCUAAUAAUUAUAUUUUAAUAUUAUAUUUAAUUUAUAUAUAAAAAUUAUGUAAUAAAGGUAAAUAUUAUAUAAUUAAAAAAGAAUUAAAAUUAUUUUAUUUACACCAAAUGUCAAUCCAUUUUAUAAAUUAAAAUUUUGAUUUAUUUUGCAAGCUUAAAGUUUUUAUUCAAGUUGGAUUAAAAAAUUUAAUAUAAGGGUUAAUUGUUUGGUCUGUUAUUAUAAAUUUAAUUUAAGGUAAACUCGUUAAAAUUUAAUAUAAGACAAUAUUCAAUAAUUUUUACUUUUCAUUCUAUAAUUAAAUAAAAAAUCAUGACGAAAUUAUUUGAAUUAUUUUAUUUUUUAUUUAUAUUUUAUAUAUAUUUUUUUUGUUCUAUAAGAACGCGGGGUGAAUUCUUUACAUGGGUACAAACUAAUGAUAACGGUAUGGGGACAAAGGAUUUUCAAGAGUAAUAUAUUUCUUGGGAGAUUGUUUUAAAAGAAUUCAAUAAAUGCAAAACAAUCUUUAAACAUGCCCCAACAUAUAUUUGGCAAGGUUGUGGUAAAAGUUAUGGUCGCAACAAGUAGAACAACUAUAAUAAAACUAAUCAUACAAGAAUUGUUUGUGUAGUUCGGACUUACCUUUAAGCCUGUAGAACCUUGAUUAGACAAUCAAUUCAUUAAAAUUGACAUGAUACAAAGAACUUGAUGAUUUAAGCCUAAUCCCUUUACUUAAGUUGCAACCUCACCUCUGUUCACAUUAGUUUGAUUCUCACACUUAAUUAUUUUAAUCACCUAGUAAGUGUCUUAUAACAUAUCAUUCAAAAUGAUUAAUUCUCUUCUAAAAAAAAACUUCUCCAAUGAACACAUUUUUCACUAUCAAUAUCUUCUUUAAUCUAUCUUUACAAGUCGAUGAGUUCUUUGUUUAACAUAGAUGUUUUCCAAGUCAUCAUUAUCCCUUAUCACUAAUUCAAAGGCAAAACUCGUCCUUCAUUGAAAAAUGUCAUUCUAUCUACUUUAUAUUUAUUCCGCGAUAACGACCAAGAUUGCAAAAACUGUAAGACUCUGCUUUUCUUUAGCUUUCAUAAUCUUUGAUCACGACACAACUCUCUUGACAUUGUAUAAAUAUGAUCACAUUUAAGGUUAAUAAUUGUAAAUAGGUAAAGAAUACCUUAUAUAUGUCGAAUUUCCAAAUUAUUCCAAGGAAACUAAAUAGAUUGAAUUUGUCCCUUAUCACAAUUAUUGUCACUGUAGGUGAACAAAUUUUCAUCUAAAAUCUUUUCAAAACCGUUUUAUAUAAAAUUCAUGAGACAUAAUAUCUUUUUAAACCUAUCUUUAUAAAUUUUUGUACUAAUGACAUAAAAAAUAUCACCUGAAGCAUAUAUCUUAAAGUUAAGUAAGAAAACAUUUAUUUCAUUUAGUGAAGCUAAAUUACUACUAUAAAAGGCUAUCAUCAUCAUAUAAGUCCAAAAGUUGAAACGUACUCCCAUGGACCUUAUGGCAUACACAAAAAUCAACAAUACAUUUAGCAAAAUCAAAUGAUGUUAGAAUAAUGUAAAAUUUUAUUUACUAAUGAUGGGAUGCUUAUUUUAUUUCAUAUAUAUUGAAAAGUAGCAUUUUAUUAAAAAAAAAACCACAAUCUCAAUACAAAUAACUCCAAAACCUAAAAUUGAAGCCCGUAAGACAAUACAAGACAUAAACACACCCAGGCAAUACAAACAUACUAUCACAUAUCACAUAUCACAAAACACUAUAACACACACAAAAUAAGCAUAAGAACUAACAAAUUCAAACAAAGAUCCUUUCCUUAAACACUAUAAUGCCAAUUACAUUCUUUAUUGUUUACACUUUGCGAUGUGCCUACUUACAAUUAAAUAUUCUAUCAGUUGCAUUACUUAUUGAAGUUUCAAAACUCAUGUGACUACUAAUAUAAUUUAUUCUUGACUACCUAGUGUACCUAUUGCACUUUUAACAUUUAUAUAUGAUUAUUAGUAUGUUUUGGAUUUUCUUUUAAAGUUAAGUUGUUUAUAUAGAAUAAUUGUGAUGUUGACACUUAUGAUUAAGGCUUAUUAAUGUAUAAUACUUGUGAUGUUAACAAAUAUUAGUUUAUGGUUAAUUACAAGCUAAUGGAGUUGUGUAUAAUCAUGUUUCAUUAUGGUGAGGCAUUUUUGGUAAGGGUCGAAAUUUAGUAAAUGAUAGUGAGGUUGUCGAAGAAAUUUAUGUGAUGCCCUAAUUUAUUGAGUACUUUUGAGUUGUUAAGCAUAUGCAAGGAUGUUAGGUAUCACAACAUAUCUAAUAAAUUUUAUUUAAUACUUGGUAGACAUCAAAGGGAAGGGUUAUUGUCAUUCUAUGGUGACCGAAAAACCUUAAACAUGAUGAGGUAUAUGGUAGAUCGUGGUGUUCUAAUGCUUAUAUAGAACAUGAGAUAAAUGUGCCUGAAUUUUGUAUACACAUUUAAAUAAAUGCGUUAGUGUUGAUUCUCUUGGGGUAGAUGUCUGGGAUGUUAAGAUCAAGUCUGUAAGGAGAAAUGUAGUAAGGUAGAGUCUGUGAGGGCCCAGGUUGAGGCUAUAAGGGCUGAGUCAUUAAUGGAUGAGGUAGAAAGGGAAGACCAUGUGAACGGUGAGGUAGAUUCUACGAGGGCCCAAUCUAAAUGUUGAAAGUUGGCAACAUACCAGCAGCAUGCAAGUGUCUAAGCAAAAAUGAAGCAGCAUGCAUGCAGCAUGCAGCAUGCAAAUGUCCAUAGUGUAUUUCGGUCAUUGAACUUUUGUAACAUGUGACAUAUGUUUGAUUUGAUUGUAACUUUUUGGAUUAGAUAAGGUUAGCAAUGUACUUAGUAGCUUUUUAGUAGGUUUUAGAUUAUCAUUAAACUGAUUUUACAGCUUGUUUACUUGCACAAGAAAAGUUUAUUUUCUUCCAAUGUAAUAUAACCAUAUAUGUACAAGUUAUUUUUGCUUAACGAAGUAUGAGAAAUAAGUCAACUUCUUUUCUCCUUCAACAUCCGAUUCUUGCUUCUGUUUUUCAUCUUUCAACACAAAUUUUAGUUGUUUUUUAUUCUUGUUUUUGACUUAAAACUAAACAAAUGGUAUCAAGAGCCUGUCAUCUUUAAGGGCCUUUUCUGUGUGUUGAUUUGUGUUGAUUCUCUAAGUGACUUGUGCUUGAAAGAAAAGAAACAGAAGCUAUCUUUGUUGGCUUGUUCAGUUGUUGCAAAAUGAUGAGUUUUUCACCACCUCCACCACCUGUCUUUGUUGGUGAGAACUACGACAUUUGGGCUAUGAAAAUGAAAACAUAUCUACAGGCUUAUGAUUUGUGGAGUGUUGUUCUAGCUGACACAAAGCCACCACCUUUGAGAGCUAAUCCGACCAUAGCUCAAAUUAGGCAACAUAAUGAAGACACUGCAAAAAAAAGUAUAAGGCUAUUUCAUAUAUUCAAAAUGGAAUUUCAUAUGUGAUCUUCACAAGGAAAAUGACUUGUGAUACUCCAAAGUAGGCCUCGGACAGACUCAAGGAAGAGUUUCAAAGGUCAGACAAGACCAGACAAUAGCAGUUGAUUAAUUUGAGAAGGGACUUCGAGAAUCUGAGGAUGAAGGAGUCUAAAACCAUCAAGUAGUAUGCUGACAGAAUUAUGGCCACAGCCAACAACAUAAGACUACUUAGAGAUGAGUUUAGUGACAAGAGAUAGUUGAAAAGGUCAUUACUACUCUACCGAAAAAGUAUGAGUCAAAAAUUUCUUCUUUGGAAGACUCGAGGGACUUAUCAGCUAUACCCUUGACAGAGUUGAUAAAUGCUCUCUAUGCAUAAGAGCAAAGAAGACAAAAUAGAAUGGAGGAGCAUUUUAAGGGAGCCUUUCAAGCCAAAAUCAAAUAGAGCUCAAGUUACAAGGGCAAGAAGCCUUUGCUAGAAAAUAAAGAGAAAUGGAAGAAGGAUGCUGCUAAAAAGAAGUUUCCACCAUGCACUCACUGUAAGAAGUCCACUCAUUUGGAAAAAUACUGCUGGUACAAGCCUGACAUUCAGUGUAGAACUGCAAGUAACUUAGCCACAUUGAGAAAGUUUGCAAGAACAAGGCAAAAACACAACCACAGCAACAGAAUCAAGCUCAAGCUGUUGAGGAUGUUCAAGCUUAGGAUGAGCAUAUUUUCACUACCUCUUGUUUUGCAAGUUCGAGCAAAGUUAGGAUAAAUUGGCUGAUUGACAGUGGCUGGACUCAUUACAUGGCUUCAAACAAAGGCAUGUUUAGGGAGCUAGACACCAGCUUUGUGUCCAAAGUCAGAAUUGAAAAUGGUGAGUUCAUCGAGGCCAAAUGCAAGGGCAAGGCUGUAGUUUACACUCAGUCAGGUAACAAAACCAUUUCAGAAGUUCUUUUUGUACCUGACAUUGACUAGAAUUUGCUCAAUGUUGGUUAGUUUUUGAAGAAGAGGUACUCUCUUAUAUUUGAAAAUAAGACUUGUGUAAUCAAAGAUCCUUCUGAUCAAGUGCUAGUGAUAGUAGCCAUGUAUGAUAGAUCCUUCAUUUUAGAUGUGAAUCAACUAGAGGCACAGGCACAUACAUAUCUGAAUGAUGAAUCAUGUUUGUAGCACAAGAGGAUAGGGCAUGUGAACUAUAAGUCACUAAGUCUACUGCACAAGAUGAGUAUAGUUGAAGACAUGUCCAAGAUCGAACCUAGGAAAAAUGUGUGUGAAGUCUGUCAGUUUGGCAAGUAGACCAGACUGCAUUUUCCUGUUAACCAAGCUUGGAGAGCUCAAGAAAGGCUUCAACUAGUCCAUACAGACAUUUUUGGACCUAUGAAGACUUCCUCUUUUAGAAGAUUUGUGAUGAAGCUGAAAUUCAGCACUAAUUGACCACCAUCUAUACACCACAACAGAACGGUGUUUGUGAGAGGAAGAAAAAUCCUGUUCUCAAUAUGGCCAAGUGCCUAUUGUUUGAAGCCAAGAUGCCUAACAAUUUUUGGGCUGAUGCUGUAAAUACCUUUGUAUAUUUGCUAAACAGGAUGCCAACUAAUGCAGUCAAAGGCAAAACACCUUUUGAAGCCUGGUUUGGGCAAAAACAAACUGUCUCACAUAUGAAAGUGUUUGGCUACUUAUAUUGUACAAUAGUGCCAGCUGAGAAGAGAACUAAUCUGGAAAGGAGAUCCAUGCCUAGAGUCUUUGUUGGCUACAGCAAUGUGAAGAAAGGUUAUAGGGUCUUUGAUACAUCUACUAAGAGGAUUGUUGUGAGCAGAGAUGUGAAAUUGAAUGAAAGAAGUUGUUGGAAAUGGGAUGGAACAAAUGCAAGUUUGUUUGAGCUAGACCAGUAUGAUCUUGAUCUGUAGCAUGCUGAAAUUGAAGUUGAAACUGAGGAUAAUUUUGAUGAUGCACCUGUCAGAGGCACUAGAACCUUAAUGGACAUCUAUGAGAGGUGUGGUAUGACCAUUAUUGAGCCUUCUUACUUUGAUAAAGCUGUAAGAGAGGGCUGUUGGAAAGAAGCUAUUGAGGCUGAAUUAAGGAUGAUCCACAAAAAUAACACAUGGGAGCUAGUUGAUAGACUAGCAAACAGAAAGGUCUUGGUGUGAAAUGGGUGUUCAGGACCACACACAAUGCAAAUAGGUCACUGACCAAGCACAAAGCUAGGUUGGUUGUGAAGGGGUACAGUCAGUAGCAUGACAUUGAUUUCUUUAAAACCUUUGCACCAGUUGCAAGGUAGGACACAAUAAGGCUGUUGUUUGCUUUAGAUGCUCAGAAGUAGUGGAAAGUGCAUCAGCUGGAUGUUAGAUCAACUUUUCUAAAUGGAUUUAUCAAGGAAGAGAUCUUUGUUGAACAACCUGAUGGAUUUAAGGUCCUUGGUGAAGAGCACAAAGUCUAUAAGUUUAAGAAGGCUUUGUAUUACCUAAAACAGGCUCUAAGGGCUUGGUAUGACAGAAUUGAUGCCUACUUAUCAAGGCUGAGGUUUAAGAAAAGUAUUAGUGAGCCUACACUUUAUGUGAAGAAGGAUGAGAAAAAAAAACCUUGUUAAUUGUGUCUUUGUAUGUAGAUGACUUAUUGGUUACUGGUUGGAGGAGCGAGCUGGAUGAAGAAUUCAAGAAGCAGAUGCAAGAUGUUUUUGAGGUGACUGAUUUAGGCUUGAUGAGCUACUUCCUUGGUAUGGAAGUGAAUCAGAAUGAGCAUGGUAUUUUUAUAAGCCAGUAAGCUUUUGCAUUGAAGGUUCUAAGCAAGUUUUGCAUGACAAACUUCAAACCUGCUAGCACUUCUGUGGCAUUAGGAGAAAAACUCUCAAGCAACAGUGAUCAUGAUCAUGUGGAUGAGAAAAGCUAUAGAAUUCUGGUUGGUUGCCUGCUCUAUUUGACAGCAACAAGGCCAAACACCAUGUAUAUAGUUUGUAACAACCAGUUUUUAGUCAAAUCGGAAUAAUGGUUUUAGGACCACAAAUCUGAAGUCAAAAUAUUUAUUUUAUUAUUAUUUUAAUGUCUACAGCAUAAUAAUGUGAUUGUGUGAAAAUUUUAUUAAGAAAUUUUAUCGUUUGGUUGGUCAAUUUGAUAAAAAAUGACUAAAUCGCGUAAAGUGUAAAACUUGAGUUCUAAUAGCUAAAAGUGUCUAAUAGCUAUAGAACCUUAAAGUUAAGGCCCUUAUAUUGUAAUUAGACCAUUUUUUUGUGAAUGGUCAUUUAUGGAGACAUAUUAAGGUGUUUUAAAUGGUUUUAUUAAGGUUAUAAUUGCAAUUUGGUAAUUUAUCUUAAAAUAAAUAAAACAAAACCAAAUUAAUUGUUUGUAUCAUCUUCUCCACUGAUUUUUGGAAGAGAAAAAUCACCAUUUUAGGGCUAUUAUUCGGCUAAGGCAUUUUUGCUCAAUUAAGGUAUGAUUGUUGUCUCGUUUUUUAUGAUUUCUACAUUUUUGAGAUCGUUGUAGCUAGGUCUAGCUAGCCCAGGGACUAAUUUGCAAAAUUGUUAAAGAUUUUAAAUGAUCCCAUUGAUGAAUACAUGUAUAUUUUGAAGUUUCCUGAUAGAUUAUGAAUGGUUGUUGAUAGUUAAACAAGUUUUGUUAAGUGAUUUUUAGUGAAAAUGCAAAAUAGGGAUUAAAUUGUGAAAUGUGUAAAGUUAGAGAAAUAAAUGAAAAAUAUGAGUUUCUAGGGGCAUAAUAGUAAUUCAGCUAGCAUGGAUAUAUUUUGAAUUUCAUUAAUUUGUGAGUUUAUGAAAUAAGGACUAAAUUGUGAAAAAUGUAAAAUAUUAGGGGAAAAAGUGUAAAUAUGUUUUAAAGUGUGUUUUGGACUAAAUUGAAUGAAUAGAUGAUUGAAUAAGUCAAUUUUGAAUAUAUUUACAUUAAUAAAGGAGAAAUAUGGGCUUAGUUUGGGGAAAGAAUAAAGUUACGAAAUAGUUGACUCGAUUCGCCGUUUUAGCAUCCAAGGUAAGUUCGUAUGUUGUAAUUUCAUUUCAAAUGUAUUCUAUAUGCUUUGAUACAACAUAAAUUGCGAUUAUGUGACUACGGAUAAGUUUGGAAAUGAUUCGACAAUAAUUCGACAAUUGGAAUCCCAGUUAAACCUUAGGAAUAGUUUAGGAUACUAGUGACAUGUCAUUAGGGGAUACAGUGAGUUAGCUUCGGGCCAUGAUAUGGCACUUCGGGUGUGAGAUAAACCGAUUUGGAUUUGGGCCAUGCAUAUCGGCUGAUUUGGCUUCGGGCCAUGAUAUCAGUAUUUCGAAGAUAAGUUACCUUAAUUUGGCUACAGGCCAUGGUAUAGGUACUUAUCGUGUGAGACCCUUGAGUAUCCAACUUCUAUUCCGAAUGGUUCAAUGGGUAAAUGAAAGAUGAUAAUGUGUAUGAGAUUAGUACGAGAUGAUACAGGUAUGUGCAUAAACCAUAUUAGCUUUGAAUCGAAGAAAUGGUGAAGAAAAAAUAUAGUUUAGUGAAUGAGUUAUUGAAAGGUUUGUUAGUUGAUGUAAAUUCUUAUACUUAUGAUCAACGGUUGAAUUAUGUGUUAUGAUUAUAUCAAAUUUAUGUCAUACGAGCUUACUAAGCUUUAUAGCUUACUUCGUUUAUUUUUCUAUGUUUUAUAGUAAAUUCAAAGCUAGCCCAGAUUCGGGGAUCGUCGGAGACAUCGUCACACUAUCCACCUAUUUCUCGAUACCUAUGAACUUGGUAUUUUAAAUAUAUGGCAUGUAUAUGGAUUUUGGUCAUUUUGGUUAUGACUUGAUAAUGAUUUUGGCCAAAUGAAUUGGCUUGUAAAUGUAUAUGUUUUGGCAUGUAUAAAUAGCCAUGAGUGAUGGCUUAUUUUGGUAUAUUUGGUAUGUUUGAGUCAUGUACAUAUAUGUCUUAUGAAUUGUGUUGGUUGAUGGU